AAGGAGGUGCUCUGGACAUCCCCAUCGAAGACACCAUCACCACACCCCAAAGCGUGCCCAGCUCCGAGCUGUUCCCUGGAUACAACAAGAGAGAAUUUUAAAAGAAAAUUUAACUGGCAAUCAAGCCUGACCUGUCAUAUAGAUGGGCUUGUGAUGGAUUGUUCAUUCAUCCAGGGUGUUUUCCCGCCUGUAUUAGACGUUGCUCCGGCAUCCCUGCAACCCUGCAUACAACAAGCGGUUUGGAAACUGGAUGGAUGGAUGUCAUGGCUGGAACUACACCGCCCCCUGCUGAUCAAAUAGAACUUGCAAGGCAGGGCCUUCCUUUCACAUUCUGUAAAAAUGGAACUGCAAGAACUCCACAAACCUGAUGAUCAUAUUGAGCAUGAUUUGAGAAUAAUUAAGUGAGCUUCUUGUGAUUCUGACCAUCUGUACAAAUGAGUUCAUAUAUGGUCAAUGUCACAUAACUGUUUUUGAUAGUUACCUAGAAGUAGAUGUGCAGAAUCUGGAAUAUUUAUUAAAUAAAUAGAAAUACAAUAGUAUUUAAUAUUAAUAAUAUUCUUUGUUUUACAAAUUUUAGAAAUCCUAAAACACUAUUAAAAAACUCUU